rnacentral:rRNA from 1 species
UGAACGCUGGCGGUAGGCCUAACACAUGCAAGUCGAACGGCAGCACAGUAAGAGCUUGCUCUUACGGGUGGCGAGUGGCGGACGGGUGAGGAAUACAUCGGAAUCUACUUUUUCGUGGGGGAUAACGUAGGGAAGCUUACGCUAAUACCGCAUACGACCUACGGGUGAAAGCAGGGGAUCUUCGGACCUUGCGCGAUUGAAUGAGCCGAUGUCGGAUUAGCUAGUUGGCGGGGUAAAGGCCCACCAAGGCGACGACCCGUAGCUGGUCUGAGAGGAUGAUCAGCCACACUGGAACUGAGACACGGUCCAGACUCCUACGGGAGGCAGCAGUGGGGAAUAUUGGACAAUGGGCGCAAGCCUGAUCCAGCCAUACCGCGUGGGUGAAGAAGGCCUUCGGGUUGUAAAGCCCUUUUGUUGGGAAAGAAAAGCAGCAGGUUAAUACCCCGCUGUUCUGACGGUACCCAAAGAAUAAGCACCGGCUAACUUCGUG